rnacentral:rRNA from 1 species
UACGUAGGGGGCAAGCGUUGUCCGGAUUUAUUGGGCGUAAAGAGCGUGUAGGCGGCCAGACAGGUCAGCUGUGAAAACUCGAGGCUCAACCUCGAGACGUCGGUUGAAACCGUUUGGCUAGAGUCCGGAAGAGGAGAGUGGAAUUCCUGGUGUAGCGGUGAAAUGCGCAGAUAUCAGGAAGAACACCCGUGGCGAAGGCGGCUCUCUGGGACGGUACUGACGCUGAGACGCGAAAGCGUGGGGAGCGAACAGG